GUUACAAUGGUCGGUACAGAGGGCAGCUACCUGGUGACAGGAUGCUAAUCUCGAAAACCGGUCUCAGUUCGGAUCGAAGUCUGCAACUCGACUUCGUGAAGCUGGAUUCGCUAGUAAUCGCGCAUCAGCUAUGGCCGCGGUCGAAUACGUUCCCGGGCCUU
rnacentral:rRNA from 1 species